rnacentral:lncRNA from 1 species
GGCGAGGAAGGUGGGGGCGCCGGCGGCGACGCCGCUCUGUCUCUCUUAAAUGGGUGCAGUUUAGGAUAAAAAAUAGUGUAACAAGAGGAUAAAUGAUGCAACAAUAGGAGAAACGGUGCAACAAGAGGAGAAACAGUGCAACUUUCAUUUAAAGAGUGUAAUUUUUAUCUUAAUGGGUGCAGUUUAUAUCUGAAAAAGUGCAAUAAGAAGAGAAACAGUGUAAAUAUCUUUCAAAGAGUGUAAUUUUCAUUUAAAAAGUGUAAUUUUUAUUUUAAAGCUGCAGUUUACAUCUUAAAUAGUGCAACUUGUAAUUUUUUUGUAGUUAACGAUACAAUUUCAUCUUCAUCCUUUUUUUAUAUAAUUUUUUAUCUUUAUUUUUUUUCUGUUUUUUUUUUGUCACCCUCUCUGUC